CUCCGCCGGCUCACUUGGCCCCGCUGGGGUGACCUGAUUAUCGCCUGUCUGUAAUUAUGCUGAAACCAGAGGUGUGCUGCUUUUCAUGUGGGGGUCCUGAUUAGGGAGGCGAGGCGUUCUCGGCGUCUACCCAAGAGCCUUGAUGAGUAUUAACACAGGAGUCCUGUUGUUUGUGCAGCUUUGUUGUUAGGUAUAUAUGCUCGUCAGGCAGAUGAUACCUAAGGCGGGAACUUUGAGCGUCGGAGGGUGCAGAUGGAGUGAAAGGAUUUAGACAAGCUUCAGUCUGGAUCCAGAAAACCUGAAGAGAUGAUGCCAACCCCUCAGAGGACCUCAGAUGAUGCCAACCCUGAAACAACAUACAGAUCUACCAAAUUUUGCUCCACCAGAUCCAGUCUGUAUUCAGGUCAGAUGGUCACUGCAGUCACCCGGAUCCAGUACGUAUCCAGCCCAGAUGGUGGAUCAGCACCUAGAAAGGACCUCUACAGCCCUGAAUGUCAGCGGAGACCAGGACCUUGUCUCAGACCACCGGGACAAGACCACAGGAACCAGUUGAGUGCUCUGCACAAUCUGACUUUGCUGCAGCCUGGAAUUAAACUGCUGGUUUCGUCUGGCCAGAGGAGAACUGGCCUCCUGACUGAGCCUGGUUUCUCCCAAGGUUUUGGAGUUUUGGUUCCUUGCCGCUGUCACCUCUGGCUUGCUUAGUUGGGACACUUCAUUUACAGCCAUAUCGUUGACUUGAUU
ensembl:lncRNA